rnacentral:rRNA from 1 species
ACGAACGCUGGCGGCGUGCUUAACACCUGCAAGUCGAACGGAAAGGCCCUGCUUUUGUGGGGUGCUCGAGUGGCGAACGGGUGAGUAACACGUGAGUAACCUGCCCUUGACUUUGGGAUAACUUCAGGAAACUGGGGCUAAUACCGGAUAGGAGCUCCUGCUGCAUGGUGGGGGUUGGAAAGUUUCGGCGGUUGGGGAUGGACUCGCGGCUUAUCAGCUUGUUGGUGGGGUAGUGGCUUACCAAGGCUUUGACGGGUAGCCGGCCUGAGAGGGUGACCGGCCACAUUGGGACUGAGAUACGGCCCAGACUCCUACGGGAGGCAGCAGUGGGGAAUAUUGCACAAUGGGCGGAAGCCUGAUGCAGCAACGCCGCGUGCUGGAUGACGGCCUUCGGGUUGUAAACCGCUUUCGCCUGUGACGAAGCGUGAGUGACGGUAAUGGGUAAAGAAGCACCGGCUAACUACGUG